rnacentral:rRNA from 1 species
UACGUAGGGUGCAAGCGUUGUUCGGAAUUACUGGGCGUAAAGCGCGCGUAGGCGGGCUUGUAUGUCGAUUGUGAAAGCCCUGGGCUCAACCCGGGAAUGGCAGUCGAAACUGCAAGUCUUGAGUGCCUAAGAGGAUGGCGGAAUUCCCGGUGUAGAGGUGAAAUUCGUAGAUAUCGGGAGGAACACCGGUGGCGAAGGCGGCGACCUGGGUAGAUACUGACGCUGAGGUGCGAAAGCGUGGGGAGCAAACAGG